CCUACGGGAGGCAGCAGUGGGGAAUAUUGGACAAUGGGCGCAAGCCUGAUCCAGCAAUGCCGCGUGAGUGAUGAAGGCCUUAGGGUUGUAAAGCUCUUUUACCAGGGAUGAUAAUGACAGUACCUGGAGAAUAAGCUCCGGCUAACUCCGUGCCAGCAGCCGCGGUAAUACGGAGGGAGCUAGCGUUGUUCGGAAUUACUGGGCGUAAAGCGUACGUAGGCGGUUAUUCAAGUCAGAGGUGAAAGCCCGGGGCUCAACCCCGGAACUGCCUUUGAAACUAGGUAGCUAGAAUCUUGGAGAGGUCAGUGGAAUUCCGAGUGUAGAGGUGAAAUUCGUAGAUAUUCGGAAGAACACCAGUGGCGAAGGCGACUGACUGGACAAGUAUUGACGCUGAGGUACGAAAGCGUGGGGAGCAAACAGGAUUAGAUACCCUGGUAGUCCACGCCGUAAACGAUGAUAACUAGCUGUCCGGUCACUUGGUGACUGGGUGGCGCAGCUACGCAUAAGUUAUCCGUCCGUCGGGUAGGUACGGUCGCGAGAAGUUAAAACGUUAAAUUAGUAAGUUAGUAACGGUCGUGUUAGACGUGCCGAACGGACGACGACGAGGGAGGAGG
rnacentral:rRNA from 1 species